UUUCCCAAUUUUCCAGUAGCCAGCAAGUGUCAGACACACGGUGUGCCAGGCAUGCUCUAAGUGAUUUCUAUAUAUAUCAAGUCAUUCACCCCAGUAACAACCCUAUAAGACGGGAAUUCCUGUCACCCUGACUUUAGAGAUGAGAACACUGAAGCCCAGCAAGAAGUCCCUCCAUAGAUGUCGAGUACAUGUUGGUUCCAUGGUCUUGGAUUUGUCAUCUCUAGAACUGCGAGCCAAGCGUGCAUUGCUCCACAAUCUGAUUCAAUUAAAAUCAGAGCAGAGCGUUGCCAGUCUCUGCAGCUUACAACAACCCCAUGAGGGUUCCUAGCGCUCUCUCCUUGGUUAUCUAUGUGAAUUUCCAGCGGGCCUCCUGCUGCACUGGGUACUGCAGGCAUCACGUGGCUCCUGGCCUCCUUUUCAUCACUCACCGUCAAGAUUGCCACGAUUUUUGACCAUGCCCUCAGUCAUGAACUUUCCCAAGC
ensembl:lncRNA